UACGUAGGGGGCGAGCGUUGUCCGGAAUCAUUGGGCGUAAAGAGCACGUAGGCGGCCUGUCAGGUCGGAUGUGAAAACCCGUGGCUCAACUGCGGGACUGCAUUCGAAACCGGCAGGCUAGAGUCCAGUAGAGGAAAGUGGAAUUCCCAGUGUAGCGGUGAAAUGCGCAGAUAUUGGGAAGAACACCGGUGGCGAAGGCGGCUUUCUGGGCUGUGACUGACGCUGAGGUGCGAAAGCUAGGGGAGCAAACAGG
rnacentral:rRNA from 1 species